AUGGCCCGGUGGCUGCAGUCCGCGGGGCUGCAGCACCUCGCGGUGUCCUCCUCCGCUCCUGGGCCCGGACUGGCGAUGGGGAUGGCCGGAGACCUCCGCGGCGGCGGUAUCCUCCCGAACCUUCUCAUGCAGGGGUAUGGGCCCCAAUCGAUCGAAGAAAAACAGAAGCUUUACAUGCUAUUAAGGAGCCUGAAUUUUAAUGGUGAAUCAGCUGCACCUAUAUCUGAGCCAUACACACCGACAACCCAGAGCUUCAGUGGUGGGCCCCCCACAGAUGGAUUCUACUCACCCGAACUUAGAGGUGAAUUCGGAGCUGGCCUUUUGGAUCUUCAUGCAAUGGAUGACAGCGAGCUUCUUUCUGAGAAUGUAGCAUCAGAACCAUUUGAAGCUUCACCCUUUGUGCCAAAGGAAACUGAUGACGAUGAGGACGAUAUAAUAUCAGGAAGCCAGCAAGGUCUAUCAGAAAAUUAUGGUGGUGCAAUCACAAGCGAAAAAGAGAGCAAUACUAAAGAAAGUAAUGUAGCAAAGAUUAAAGUUGUGGUAAGGAAGAGGCCUCUGAACAGAAAGGAAAUAUCUCGAAAGGAGGAUGACGUAAUAGAUGUACAUAAUUCUCAAUUCUUGACUGUUCAUGAACCUAAAUUAAAGGUGGAUUUGACGGCUUAUGUGGACAAACAUGAAUUCUGCUUUGAUGCUGUCCUGGAUGAGGCUGUAACUAAUGACGAGGUGUACCGGGAGACUGUGGAGCCCAUUAUACCAAUAAUUUUCCGAAGGACCAAAGCAACAUGCUUUGCAUAUGGCCAAACAGGUAGUGGUAAGACAUAUACAAUGCAACCCCUACCUCUAAGGGCUGCACAGGAUAUGGUUUAUCUUUUGCAUCAACCUGUGUACCUGAGUCAAAAUUUCAAGUUGUGGCUUAGCUACUUUGAGAUAUAUGGCGGGAAGCUUUAUGACCUUUUGAGCGAAAGGAGGCCACUCUGCAUUAGGGAAGAUGGAAAGAAACAGGUCUGCAUUGUUGGCUUACAGGAAUUUGAGGUUUCUGAUGUCCGGAUUGUCAAAGAAUACAUUGAGAGAGGAAAUGCCUCGAGAAGCACAGGAUCAACUGGGGCCAACGAAGAGUCAUCACGAUCUCACGCCAUUCUGCAAUUAACUGUGAAGAAGCAUAUCCCAGUGACAGAGACCAGAAGACAGAGAGAUCGUGAGGCUAAUGAAGCUAAAAAUACAAAGCUUGUGGGAAAAUUGUCAUUUAUAGACCUUGCUGGAAGCGAGCGUGGUGCUGAUACAACAGAUAAUGACAAGCAGACAAGAAUUGAGGGUGCAGAAAUAAACAAGAGCCUUUUGGCUCUCAAGGAAUGCAUUCGGGCACUGGAUAAUGAUCAGAUACAUAUUCCUUUCAGAGGAAGCAAGCUAACCGAGGUGCUUCGUGAUUCGUUUGUUGGUAACUCUCGAACAGUAAUGAUUUCUUGCAUCUCACCGGGUUCAGGUUCAUGUGAACACACGCUAAAUACCUUAAGAUAUGCUGACAGGGUUAAGAGUCUCUCGAAAAGUGGCAACUCAAAAAAAGAGCAGUUCAGUGGGCAGUUUGUGUCCUCCAGCAAGGAAGCUACCCAUACAUCAUAUCCAUUAUCAGGUGAAGCUGAAGAAACUGUGGACCAGAUUGAAGAGAACAGACAUAUUGAUGCUUCAAGGAGAGUUGUUGAAAUCUGUAUGAGUUCUUCAGUGGAUCAUGAUAGGAACUCAUUUAGUAUGAUUCCAAGUUAUCCUCAUAGAGGAAGGGAAGAAACUGGUUCAACAUCUAGUUUGAAUGAUAGGGAGAGAAUUGAUUUCAAAUCUAACCCGACUGGUUAUAGUAGUAAAGCACAGUCACUUCAGAAUUCAGUUAAUUCACAAGAAGAAGAUAAAGUUACAAAAGUCUCACCUCCUCGGAGAAAACCUAAUAGGGAGGACAAAUCUGAAAGGCAGAACAACUAUGUGAAAAAGGAAAAUGGGGCAGAUGUAAAUCGGAUUGUUCACAGACAGCAACUGAAACAGCAGCAGCAAAGACCACGGUCUACUUCGGCAUCACAGGUUUCAUCGAGACAAUCUGAAAAGGAAAGUUCGUGUGAUGAGGAAAUAAAUGCAAUACUUGAGGAAGAGGAGGCAUUGAUAGCAGCUCACAGAAAGGAAAUUGAAAAUACUAUGGAAAUAGUGCGGGAAGAGAUGAACCUAUUAGCAGAUGUUGACCAACCAGGUAGCCUUAUUGACAAUUAUGUGGCACAACUGAAUUUUCUCCUGUCACGGAAGGCGUCCGGCUUGAUCAGUCUCCAGGCACGCUUAGCAAGGUUUCAACAGCGCCUCAAAGAAGAGGAGAUCCUUAGCCGUAAGAAACCAUCAAGAUAG
rnacentral:rRNA from 1 species